rnacentral:tRNA from 1 species
GCCGGGGUAACUCAGUUGGUUAGAGUGCCAGACUCAUAAUCUGGAAGCCGCGUGUUCGAGUCACGCCCCCGGCA